rnacentral:sRNA from 1 species
CAAGGCUCGGCACAAAAGGAUCUUUUCAUUCCAGUCCUUUCGCCCACGCAGGGAACGAUGCCUCUGGAGGUGGUGGUGGAGCUGCAGAUCCGGGCGAUUUCUUGCCCAGGAGUGUUCCUGCCUGGCAAACAAGAUGUGUACCUCGGGGUCUACCUCAUGAAUCAGUACCUGGAGACAAACAGCUUUCCCUCUGCGUUCCCCAUUAUGAUUCAGGAGAGCAUGAGAUUUGAAAAGGUAUUUGAAAGUGCAGUAGAUCCUGGAGCUGUAGUAGACCUUUUGGAAAGCUUCCUAACCAGGUUUGAAUUAAUACAGCUAGUUCCUCCAGGUAAUGUGCCAGUAAAUACGUUUCUAAAUUAGCUUAAUAUGAUUUUAAAAUAAAUUUGGCCUGUCAAAAUGGGGACUGUACUUAAGAGUUGUGUUUGAAAAUAACAUACAACUUUAUGUGUCUAUAAGUUUAUAUAACACAUGCCUUUUUUCUGCCAAUCUAUUAAAUUUUGUCUAUUUUCAGAAUAA